rnacentral:rRNA from 1 species
UACGUAGGGGGCUAGCGUUGUCCGGAAUCAUUGGGCGUAAAGAGCGUGUAGGCGGUCCGGUAAGUCCGCUGUGAAAGUCGGGGGCUCAACCCUCGAAUGCCGGUGGAUACUGUCGGGCUAGAGUGCGGAAGAGGCGAGUGGAAUUCCUGGUGUAGCGGUGAAAUGCGCAGAUAUCAGGAGGAACACCUAUUGCGAAGGCAGCUCGCUGGGACGGUACUGACGCUAAGGCGCGAAAGCGUGGGGAGCGAACAGG